rnacentral:sRNA from 1 species
AAUCAAUAUAUUUUAGACGUAUACCAAUGGUUGUUUAUUUGUAGGGGGUUUGGUUUAAGUCACUGAUGAUCUAAUUCCCAACAAUAUCUGGACCUUUUCAAACUUGGAUGACUGAUGCAUAAGUCGUUACAUAAUAAAAGUCAUGUUAUGGAUAAUGUGACCUACAUUAACCGGAUGUGACAGGUUAUUUUUAGCAUUUGCACUCACAUAUUUGAGACACACUUAAUCGAACUGUGCACGGAUAAUGCAUACUAGCGAUUACAUUUUGGACUGCGUGAUGCUUUAAGUGUAAAGAGAACUCAUUUCCAAGUAUCUGUCCGCACCUAUCCAAAGAAAAUAUAUACGGAUGAUGUAUCUCACGUUGCAUUGUAGAUGAUGAAUGUGACUUGUUACCAGUUUAAAAUCUGAAUGCUAAUAGAGCUGGUUCUCCUACUUUAUCUCUUCUUCGGAAAAAUAUAUGUGGCCUAUACUUAAAUUUUAAAAAAGAGGCAAUUUUAUCAUUCAAUAAUUGUUAGUAAUAAAUUGCAUUUGAAGAAAAUAUGAAUCUGAGGAUGUACAUUUCAACUUAAUGAACACAUUUUUUUUACAAGGCAGCUCAUAUCCUUCCAUUAAUUAAUCUAUUACCGUUUGUUUAUAAAGAGUUACCUGUAAUUAUUUUUAUAUAGUUGAAGCUUCCUGGUUAAAACUUUUUUGUACAUAAAUUUACGUGGCUUCUAGUAAUAGGUUCGCAUAAAAUUGUCCCAUUAGGAUUUAUAUUUAUGUGAUAGUUGGGCUAUUACCCAUGUGCUCGAUUUCAGGUAAUAUGAGAGAGAGAUAGAGAGAAAGAGAGGUAGAGAGAGAGAUAGAGAGAGGUAGAGCGGAGAGAGAGAGAGAGAGAGAGAGAGAGAGAGAGAGAGAGAGAGAGAGAGAGAGGUAGGUUUAUUUUGAAGAUUAUUCUUAUAAAUGAAAUGUCAGAGU